CUCAUUAUAAUUAUUCAAACACUAUUUUAUAGAAAUAGUGAGGACUGCUAAAACAUCUUCCUAGAACCAUCACUCCAUACCCCGACUCGAUCCUGCUAUGUUCUCACCUCCUGAGAAGAAAACUGGAACAAAAAGGAAAAGGUGAGCUCAACUAGCCUAGUAAAGAAUAUUAUGACUAAGAUAAUAUACAACAAAUUAUCGUCAGUCUUCAACAGGGAAAAAUCUGAUAAAAUAUAAUAGACAACAAGUUUUAGAUCAACAAAUGCAGCGGAAACAACAAUCCAUUAGAAGAGUCACGUAGAGAAUGAAUUCUACUAUCUUCUAAGAUUUAAAAGUCCAUCAUCAAUAUUUUAUCCCUGUAACAACAAUCAAUAUUCAUCUUUGAACUACAGGCCAAAGAUAUUCAUUUAAAUCACCAGUUGGUCAUGUUCAUCUCAACACCUGUUCAUCUUUGCACUACAGGCCAAAGAUAUUCAUCAGUUAAUCAUUCAUCUUUGCACUACAGGCCAAAGAUAGUCAGUAGUAUCAUCAUUUAGGACUGAGGAUGAUGAAAAAUAUUUUUUUUAAAGAAACGAAUCCAGUGAAACAAAAUGACAAGGAUUAAGGAUUAAGAAUUCGUACUUUAGUUUGUCCAAAUUCAAAAAUACUCCAUAAUAAACAAUUCUGAGCCAAACUUCAAGAAUGAAGAUCAAAACAUGGAUACAAUCAAAGCUAGUAACCAUAAUAGACAUUUUGGACAAAAAGGAGAAUUUUCAUUUUUCGGUGAAUAGUGCCGUAUUCGUGAAUAGUGUCGUAUACGUGAAUAGUGUCGUAUACGUGAAUAGUAACCUCGGUACAACACGUUCCAAAUUUGAUAAAAAGUUCAACCAAUAUUUUGGCAUAAUGAUAUUGAAGAAAAUAAUACCAUUUGCGAAAGAAAUAACAUCCCUUACCUCAAAAUAACCGUACUUCUGACUGAAUUUUGGUAUAGUGCUGACAGAAACUCGCACCGUAUAGCAACACUCAAAGUAUACUCACAAGAAUACGCUUGAUAAUAUAGAGAGAGAAAGAGAGAAAACUUG
rnacentral:lncRNA from 1 species